rnacentral:rRNA from 1 species
UACAGAGGGUGCGAGCGUUAAUCGGAAUUACUGGGCGUAAAGCGUGCGUAGACGGUUAUUUAAGUCGGAUGUGAAAGCCCCGGGCUCAACCUGGGAAUUGCGAUGGAGACUGCAAGGCUUGAAUCUGGCAGAGGGGGGUAGAAUUCCACGUGUAGCAGUGAAAUGCGUAGAUAUUGGGAGGAACACCGGUGGCGAAGGCGGCCCCCUGGACCGGUACUGACGCUGAGGCGCGAAAGCGUGGGUAGCAAACGGG